rnacentral:rRNA from 1 species
GCUUGCUUCUCUUGAGAGCGGCGGACGGGUGAGUAAUGCCUAGGAAUCUGCCUGGUAGUGGGGGAUAACGUUCGGAAACGGACGCUAAUACCGCAUACGUCCUACGGGAGAAAGCAGGGGACCUUCGGGCCUUGCGCUAUCAGAUGAGCCUAGGUCGGAUUAGCUAGUUGGUGGGGUAAUGGCUCACCAAGGCGACGAUCCGUAACUGGUCUGAGAGGGUGAUCAGUCACACUGGAACUGAGACACGGUCCAGACUCCUACGGGAGGCAGCAGUGGGGAAUAUUGGACAAUGGGCGAAAGCCUGAUCCAGCCAUGCCGCGUGUGUGAAGAAGGUCUUCGGAUUGUAAAGCACUUUAAGUUGGGAGGAAGGGUUGUAGAUUAAUACUCUGCAAUUUUGACGUUACCGACAGAAUAAGCACCGGCUAACUCUGUGCCAGCAGCCGCGGUAAUACAGAGGGUGCAAGCGUUAAUCGGAAUUACUGGGCGUAAAGCGCGCGUAGGUGGUUUGUUAAGUUGGAUGUGAAAUCCCCGGGCUCAACCUGGGAACUGCAUUCAAAACUGACUGACUAGAGUAUGGUAGAGGGUGGUGGAAUUUCCUGUGUAGCGGUGAAAUGCGUAGAUAUAGGAAGGAACACCAGUGGCGAAGGCGACCACCUGGACUAAUACUGACACUG